GGUCGGAUGGCCGAUUGGUAGGCAGAUCUCCGCAAGACAUCAUAAAGUGGUUCGAAUCCACUUCCGACCUCCA
rnacentral:tRNA from 1 species